CAAUAGCGUAUAUUAAAGUUGUUGCGGUUAAAAAGCUCGUAGUUGGAGUUCUGCCAGGUGACGCUCGUCCGCCCAAGUGGUGUGUACAGGGCGUGCAUCUGGCCCUUUCAAGGGGAACGUGUCUGCACUUUACUGUGUGGUGCGAGAUCCUUGACUUUUACUUUGAGGAAAUCAGAGUGUUCCAAGCAGGCUCUCGUCGUGUAUAGCUCAGCAUGGAAUAAUAGCAUUGGACUUCGUUUCUAAGCUGUUGGUUGCAAGAAGCGAGGUAAUGAUGAAGAGGGAUAGUUGGGGGCAUUCGUAUUUAACGGUCAGAGGUGAAAUUCUUGGAUUUGUUAAAGACGGACUACUGCGAAAGCAUCUGCCAUGGAUGUUUUCAUUGA
rnacentral:rRNA from 1 species